UACGUAGGUGACAAGCGUUAUCCGGAAUUAUUGGGCGUAAAGCGCGCGCAGGCGGCGAGCCAAGUCUGACGUGAAAGCUCCUGGCUUAACUGGGAGAGGUCGUUGGAAACUAGCUUGCUUGAGGCAAGGAGAGGGGUGCAGAAUUCCCGGUGUAGUGGUGGAAUGCGUAGAGAUCGGGAGGAAUACCAGAGGCGAAAGCGGCACCCUGGUCUUGAACUGACGCUGAAGUGCGAAAGCGUGGGAAGCAAACGGG
rnacentral:rRNA from 1 species